rnacentral:lncRNA from 1 species
AGCCGGGCCAGACCUCCGCGCGGGCCGCGCCGGCAGCGCCAGCGCCGCGCCUCCGUGCCCGCAGUCAGGCAGCGCGGCGGGCAGCCCGCGGGGUCCUAGCUGGGCGCGCGCGGGCGCUGGUAACGGCCUGGCCAAAAGGCCCGGGCUUGCGAGGUGGAAAGGGAGCGGGGCGGGGCGAGAGGAGGCUGGGCUAGACCAUCUCACGGAGCGACCCCCCCUCCCGGCGGGGAGUGGGUUGGUCCCGCCCUGACCCCGCCCCCUCUGGCCUCUGCCAAUCAGAGCGAGCGGCGCGCGGCCAAUGCCGGCCUGGCCGGGGUUGAACGUCCCUCUCGCGCCGUUCAAACGGGCCCGAGGGGCCAACUGAGGAAUCCCUUCACCGAGAGCCGGAAGGAGCUGGGUAAUUGAGCCUGCGGUAGCAACAGGAUGGUGUCACUGAGACAAGAUGAAAUCUGUAAAUGUUUGGACCUUGAAGCAGUAACAAACUGAAAUGAAAGGCAAAGGCAGGAGUCCAGUUGCUCCAGGUCGUCCAAGCUCUGUCCCCUUUCACAACCAGACUGACCCAUGGAAGGAAAUUCAGGUGAUUCACUUUGCUGCAGUGGAAAGGAAAUCUGACUCUUCCCCCAGUGAGCAACCCGGGACCUUCACAAGCCCUAAAGCUGUUCCUACUGAGCCCUGCUAA